rnacentral:rRNA from 1 species
CCUUCAUGAAGCCGGAAUUGCUAGUAAUGGCAGGUCAGCAUACUGCCGUGAAUACGUUCCCGGGCCUUGUACACACCGCCCGUCACACCAUGAGAGUUGGGAAUACCCGAAGCCUGUGAGCUAACUAAUAGAGGCAGCAGUCGAAGGUAGAAUCAAUGAUUGGGGUGAAGUCGUAACAAGGUACC